rnacentral:lncRNA from 1 species
ACAUGCUUAUGGUUGUACACGAAGUAGCUAUCUGUUUUAGCCGCCUCUUCUAACAAUGAGUUCCAUCAGUUCGAUUGGUAAUCAAAGAAGCGGUUCAACCUCCGCUCCAAGCGCCUCAAAUUGUGUUACCAAUCAAAGCCAAUAAACAUCAUCUUGUAUGAACCAAGACCGAAAACUGCUAUUAAACUUCAUUCCGUACAAAACCAAGUAUCUUAAAUUGGACUGAUGUUGGUUUAGGUUCCGUUCUUGUGGUUCCUGUUUACUCUCCUAAAAAUUUGAACAGAUUUGAGCAUGCUGAUCAAGUGAAGUAAACUACCUACACUUGGUCAACCGUCUACUAGUAAAAUUAUAGACUCACUUUAUUAACUUUCCCAUGAUUGAAGGAAGACGAGCAAACACACAUGAUCACUAGUUCCAUAGCAUUUACAAGUAUAUAAUUCCACAAAAUGUAUAGUAGUACCAUUACUAGACCUUAAAACAAGCAAGCUCACCAUUUAAACUAUGCUAUUAAGUUCAUGUUUGUUAAAGCAUCAGCCUAGAGAGUGGUAUCAUAUUAUUAGUAGUGCUACCAUCAUCACAAAUUCUAUAUAAGAACAUUGUAGAGAAACAGUAUUUUCUCAUAUUUUAACAGCCCCUCUUGUGUGAGGAAUAUAAGAAAGAUAACAAGUCUUGAUCUUGAAAAAGAACAAGAUUCUCCUUUUCUUACCUAAUUUGAAAAUGGAAUCAUGAUACCAUUUGAAGUUUUGCUCCAAGGAAUUUUAAAACCCACGAGCUAAGGAAUCCUUUCACUUCACAAGAUUCCCUCACCUUUUCUCUGUGCUGCCAAAGGUGAGGGAAAAAAAGAGAGGACACAGGAAGACCAAUGACUUAUAACAAAAGUGUCUUUUACAACAAGAAAGUUUAAGGAGUGAAUUUGAUUCUUCUUGAACAGCCAGUUUCAUAAAUAGUAAUACGAAAAGAACAAGAAGUAUAGCAUGGCUCUCUAGAAGGUUAUUAAUCAGUGAAUAUCACCACUUGGAUCCUGAUUAAAGGGUUAUCAUCACGCACUCAUUGCGCAAUGUAUCAAAGUUUUUGAUUGUAUUAUACUAUUCUACGUGGAUUCCUUAUCACUUGCCAAGAAUGAACAUAGUAAUGCAAAAGCAAAGGUUUUAGAAUUAUGCAAUGUCUAUGUAGGUAAUACUUAAAAGAGCCAGAGAAGUAAGCAAAAGCACACAUUGCAUCAAGAAACCAAGAGAUCACAGCAAAUUUCAUAUCAGGAACUCAUAACAACAUAGCCAUGCUCAGGAACAAAAUUAGCGUUGAGGGUCUGUAGUGACAAAAGACAUAGCCAGGAAAAAAACCGAUCUACUAAUCUGCAAAGCUGAAGAAGUACAAGUUGGAUUCAGUGGCUCAACAAACAAAAACAAAAAUGCUAGAUGAAGAAAGACCAUAUGGAACACAAACCUUGAUACAUACAUGUAAACCAAAAGUAAAACUGCAUCAUCAGAAUUCAGGACCAUUGUUAAAAAACAGAUCAAUAAAAAAAAAAAGUUAAGACAAAACUGAAGUUGUAAGAUUUAAGAAUAUGAGUCAAUUAUGAAGACAUGACUACAAACAAAAACACAUAUGAUAAUUGAUCUGUUACCCAAAACAAUAACAAACAAACAAUUUCAUUUUAUCCUUUUUUCAUAUACAAGAAUUUUGUUUUCCCUCACUAUCUCAACAGCUAAAAGAUGAAUACUUUGAAUUAGAUUUGGGAUAAAUUUUAAAUAUUUAGUUUCAGCAGCUGAGAAGACUUUAUCGAAUCCAUUGUCCUGCUUCUCAGCAAUACUCAAAUAGAUAUCAAUUAAACAAAAGUCAUGAAGAGCAAGCAGCG